CCUAACCAUGCAAGUUCGAGCGGCAGCGGGACCUUCGUGUGUUGCCGGCGAGCGGCGGACGGGUGAGUAAUGACUAGGAAUCUGCCUGUUAGUGGGGGAUAACGCGGGGUAAACUCAAGGCUAAUACCGCAUACGUCCUACGGGAGAAAGUGGGGGACCUUCGGGCCUCACGCUAACAGAUGAGCCUAGGUCGAAUUAGCUGGUUGGUGGGGUAACGGCCCACCAAGGCGACGAUCCGUAACUGGUCUGAGAGGAUGAUCAGUCACACUGGAACUGAGACACGGUCCAAACUCCUACGGGAGGCAGCAGUGGGGAAUAUUGGACAAUGGGCGAAAGCCUGAUCCAGCCAUGCCGCGUGUGUGAAGAAGGUCUUCGGAUUGUAAAGCACUUUAAGUCGGGAGGAAGGGCUGUAGGUGAAUACCCUGCAGCCUUGACGUUACCGACAGAAUAAGCACCGGCUAACUUCGUGCCAGCAGCCGCGGUAAUAC
rnacentral:rRNA from 1 species